ensembl:lncRNA
GGAAGAGGCAGACAGCUGGGAUGAAGCUCUUCCUUGCACCUUCUAGCUGCUCAACUUGGUGACAGUUAGAUCACUUUGCAGGGCCUUCAUGGGAAUGAGAUGAGACUGCGUGAAGCUGCCCAGGGCGAUGCCCAGCGCAAGGAGGACCGAACCAAGAGGACCUGUGCUCAGGAGAUUUAUCAAUAUUUAUUUUGGCCACCUGAUGUGAAGAGCUGACUCAUUGGAAAAGACCCUGAUGCCGGGCAAGAUUGAGGGCAGGAGGAGAAGGG